CAGAAUAUUUCAAGAUGACGACUAAGUUGACGACGAUGAUGAUGAUGAUGGCGAGGAUGAUGAUGACGGUGGCGAUGAUGACACCGACAACAAAUCACCCGAGGUAAUCAAAUGUUUACUCAUUUAGUUUUAAACUAAUUAGCAUCAAAGGGGAAAUGCGCCAUGAAUUCUAAAGACACUUAAUUGACAUGUGAGACUUCAAUAGUGAAAAAUGGCGUUCGUUGUUGUUCACGUUCGUUUCUAAUCUUUUUUUUCCAACGAAUGUUUUUAACUGUUUUUCGUUAUUGUUAUUGUUCUCGAUGUUGUAAUUGCUUAGCCCAAGGUUGACUCUGACAAAUGUAUACUAUCAGUAAAGAUUUUUCCAGACACGACCAUCCCGAAUUUAUUCUCAUAUAUAAUGCACUGGGGAACACUGCAUCCUGUGUAUCUACUUUUAAGAUUGUAUGGUCUAAUUUGAAAGGAUUUGACUGCUAUGUCUAGCAGGUCGAUCAGCCACCAAGAGACUCUCUACUUGAUCGUUGACUUUCUGAUGAAGCAGCGCAUUCAAAGGUAUUCUUCGUUAUAUUUCAACCAUUGCAUGACUGAAUGCUAAUGUAUUUCGUGGACCUCGAGAGGAUGGAAGACGUCGAUUGUUUUGAAUAGGUUAAUCAGAAAAAGUAGGACAGUGGCCAUUGUUGUGAAGGCAGUUUAAAUGCAUAGAAAUAUUUUAAACUUUUAAAUCACGUAUUAUGUCUUUUGUAUUAGCUUUGCUCUUACAGGCCAAAUAUGAAAGUGAAAUAUUCUAAGCUCUGGCCAUCAGAAUAUGCACUCGACGGCUUCGCAUCAUAAAAGGAAAGAGGUGAAAUAGCAUCAGUGCGUGUGUUUGUUAUCGACGUAUUGCCCCUCCCCCCCACCUCAGCUAUAUCGGUGCACUAUUUCCUGCAAAAGAUACGCCUGGACCACUAGUAACUGAAGAAAGCCACUAAGGAGAUUUGCGUUUCAGCUGAAACAAACUUAAGGUCGCUGCGGUAAACAAAGGGCCUCAGACAUGUGGAAACCUUCUGCAGACGAAAAGUAAUUCCGUCUUCAUCUCAUUGACCAACUCAGACAAAGCAUGCAGGCUAAGGACGGAACGCUUGUGAGUGUGAGAUACUUUCUGAUAAUAGAGCAGGAUUUCUGACAUUUCGAUAGAUUCGGGAGAGCUUGCAAUAACUCAUGGGAGUAAUUCAUGCAAUUCCUGUUUAGGGUAAAGUAUAUCCAAUGUUUAUUCGACCUUUUCUUUGAUUACUCUGGCUAUGACUCUAGCCAAGAUCAUUAUUGGAGUUCAGCAAGCGUAAUAAGAAUUUCAGCAAAAGUACUCCGAAUAUUUAAAUUUCCAUUUUUGUCUCAAGCUCUUUCACAAUCUCUGUGGUGUCAGCCUUUUAUUACCAAACUCGGUCAUCCAAGCCCUCCGAUCCUACACUCGAGUUGAGUUUGCAUGACUCUCCUGAAUCAGGAGUUUGUUACUAACCUUGGGAAUGAGAGACAAAAGAGUGAACUAGUUGUUUGAUAUCCCACUCUCUUAUUGAUUCUGGAACCAAAACAAACUCUUACAAACCACAAACAAAUGAUGAGAAAUCUUUCUUUGCGCUGACUGUGGUAUCAGGCGGAUCUGUGAAAAGGAAUUACCACCACUUUCGUAGAUUCAUCGCACGAAAACUGAAAUAUAGGUGAAAAGAAUGACGUCUCUCCAGACGCCUCCACAGCAGCAUCCUCUGUGCUGAGGCGUCUGUGUGUAUUGUAAAUUUAAGGAUACCUCAGGUUACAUUUUUAACUGUUUAAUAUACAUUUGAUAAUGUGCUUCGAGAUAUAGAAAGUAAGAAAAAAGAGAUCGACAUGAAAGAGCCGAAUUUGAUGUGUUACAUCAAUUUAAUGAUCCUUUCUUCCGAGUUAAAAUACUGAGUUCAAAUCCCGCCGAGGUUGACCUUGCCUUUUAUCUUUUCGGGGUCGACAAAAUAAGUAACAGUUGAAUUCUGGGGUCCAUGUCAUUGACUUUCCUCGCCCUCAAAAUAACUGACCCUGUGACAAACGUUGAAAGCAAUUUAAUGUGCUUUUAUAUAGCUAAGGAAGAAACCAUUGAAAAGUUAAGAAAUUUGGUCAAAGUUGCAAAGCAAUCACGUUGGAACAAAAGGUUUUGUGACUGUCUCUCUCUUCCUUGUAUUUUUGGUGGUCUGUAUAUUCGAGCAUCUAUGGCACCAAACAAAACACGCACACAUACACACACACAUACACACACACACACACACACAUAUCCACCUAUAUACAAAAAUAUUAAUGUGUGUAUAUAUAUAUAUAUAUAUAUAUAUAUGAAUGUAUCUAUGUAUAGAUAUGUGUAUGCAUAUAUAUAUAUAUAUACAUAGCCAUACAAAAUACUGAUUCUGUAUGCCUCAGAGUUGGAAUUCACUCACAAAUACAAACUUAUAUAAACUCUGACAACAAGAUGUUUAACGAGAAUAGUUUGUCUAUGUAUCCGCUUCUCCUAAUAUGCAGAUAACACAGAUUGCCAAUGGGGAGAAGCUUGGUAUUUAUAUAUACCUGAGGCUUGCUGCAACUCUCUGUGUUAUGUAAAUACCUUCAAUCCGAAGUUGUUUAACAUGGAAAACUCACAAAUUUGAGUAGCUUGUGAAAUAACUAAAGCUACGCUACUCAUCAGAUAAGAUCGAAUCAGAAAAUUAGAUUCGCUAACUUUCAAAAUAAAAAUAUCAACACGAAAUUUUCAUCUCUUUGACUUUAACCGUCACUCCAUAAUAAUAAUAAUAAUAAUAAUGACUUCUAAUUUUGAAAGAAAACUAAUAAUUUUAAGGAAAAGCAGUUAGUCGGUAUCAUAAACUGCAAAUACGUAACUUCUGCUUUAUUUUCAUCGAUCACGAUAGGUCGGACCGCAAAGUUCACCUCAGCGAUAUUGGAACUCAGAAAAAAGACGCACGAGAUGCUGCUGUAAUGAUUCUAUCUGCUCACCGGCUUAAAAAUGGUGAUGAUGAUGAUGAUCAUCAUCAUCAUCAUCAUCAUCAUGAUAAUGAUCAUGAUGAUGAUGUCUGCUAGUUCAAUUCGUUGAAUUUCAUUUUUUAUUUUUGUUCUUUAAGAAAUAAAUUUAUAUCAAUUAUAUAUAUUUUUGUAAAUGACAAACUGCAAAAUCCGUGAAGCAAUCCAUCGGGACAUAUAAAGUGCAUAGAAAUAAUGCAUUUAUCUUCUUAUAUUCCCCCCUCACAGCUAGGCUUUCUAUCAAUGGAAUGUAUUUCGCUGACUCCUCCUUUCUCGCUAAUAAUAUCUCUCACCACUCGUUCAGUAUACAGAAUCAUGCUAAAAUACGAUUAAACAGCAUUUUACAAAAAUCUAAUAUAUAAACUGUUCAAAAACAAAUCUCAUAUCUCCACAACCACGGCGACGACGACCAACAUCACCACCAUCGCCACCCCCUUCAAUGUAAACAGGAUAACCAUUGAACUAUUCCAGAAUUUUCUUUCCAAUAAAAUAUUCCAAACGAAUCGCUUUCUUCAUUAAGAACAAAAUUGAUGAAUCCAAGUCUCUUACACAACCACUUCGAAAAUAUCAGCUUAUUCCAAGAUACAUAUUAAAAUAAAUUAAUAAUAAUAAUAAUAAUAAUAAUAAGAAGAAGAAGAA
rnacentral:lncRNA from 1 species